GUCAUAAAAAGGAUCUGAAUUAAUGACAUCUACAGUAGAAAUAAGACAGGAGUUGUACAUGUCUAACUUUUUCCCACAUUCAAGAGUCCGCGAUGGGUCACUACGGACAGUAUGGGAAACCUGUGAAUUCAAACCUAGUGGUUUAUAAAGGAACAGCCAGGACAAUCGGGCAGUAUUUUCCACAUGAAGUGGGACUGCUGAAGCUGCGUGUGAGUCAAGAUCCCCUCUGAUCCUGCUGAAGUCAAUGGCAAACCUCCAAUCUGCUUCAAAUGAGCGAGAACGGGCUCUCAAUAAAGAGGAAGAAUACAAAAAACAGUCCAACAUUUCUCACCCUGCAGAUUCUCCCAUGCAUUCGUCUUCUUGGGCAAGAAAUAAUUGGGAGCAUCAGGAAGGGGAAACCACUUGAAACUGCAGAUGGAGGUAAAAGAUGUCUCAUCUGGGCUAUCAGGCUAGGGUGGCCCAGUCAGGCCAGGAGAGCUGCUAUCCUGCCUCCUGACUCCUUUUAUGGGCAGCAGGCCAGGAAAAUGGGUUGACUGUGUGAUGCAUUUCCCCUUAUGGUGGAAGCGGCACAGAGCGCUUGAUCCUGCACCAUUCAUGUUGAUGCGAGUUUUCCUAUUUACCUGACUGGGCACAGCCUGGAGGUCAGACAGAAGAAGCGUGUUCUUAUAUUGCAUGCCGGGAGUUUGAGGAUUUGAGGACUACGUUUCCGUACUCGGCCAUCAUGAAGAGAGCUUGUCUGAUCCCAUCAUAUAUUUUGUUUGAAUGGAGAGCUGUAAUAAAGUAAUGAAUGAAACUUGCUGUGGCUCGGGGUAGCAAAGGAAUUCAAGAAAAAUCUUUGUUAUCGGGAUGCUACUUGGACAGGUGUGCCUGAUUCCCCCAAAGUCCAGACUCAAAGGCUGUCACUCCCUGUGAUGCCAGGAUACGAACGAUGCUGGCGAUUUGUGCCACGGGGCCCGGCUGGAAGCAAUCUAUCAGGGUUAGAACCACCUGCUAAUCAAGACUGAGAAGGUGACAAGACAGCAUAUUAUCUCUAGGAAGACACAGCAAGGGGUGUUCUAUUCAUGGUUGAGGUCAAAGAAUUAGUCUGGUGUAUCAGGAGAAUGCAUGGAGACACACAGGAUCCUUCAGUGAGGAGAAAAGUGGAGUGUGUGGCUUAUUUCAUGACAAAAAGGGAUCACAGCCUAUCUGGUUGAAAAAUGUUGGUGAGUAAUACUAUAAAGACCCGAUGGUAACUAGUUGAGUACAUCUAGUUUCUAGAAUGAAUGUCACAAUUGUAUUUCCCAUGUAACCAUUUGGUUCCCAUAUUUCUAUUUGUGGUCGUUUA